CGUAGGGUGCAAGCGUUAAUCGGAAUUACUGGGCGUAAAGCGUGCGCAGGCGGUUAUGUAAGACAGUUGUGAAAUCCCCGGGCUCAACCUGGGAACUGCAUCUGUGACUGCAUAGCUAGAGUACGGUAGAGGGGGAUGGAAUUCCGCGUGUAGCAGUGAAAUGCGUAGAUAUGCGGAGGGACACCGAUGGCGAAGGCAAUCCCCUGGACCUGUACUGACGCUCAUGCACGAAAGCGUGGGGAGCAAACAGGAUUAGAUACCCUGGUAGUCCACGCCCUAAACGAUGUCAACUGGUUGUUGGGUCUUCACUGACUCAGUAACGAAGCUAACGCGUGAAGUUGACCGCCUGGGGAGUACGGCCGCAAGGUUG
rnacentral:rRNA from 1 species